GGCAUUCAAAAACUUGUUGAACAGUGGGAGAAAGUGAUGAAUACUAGGGCACUUAGAGAGGCCCAAAAAAUGUGUACACAUUUUUGUUCUUCAAUAACUUUGAGACAAAUUGAUAUAAAGUUCUCAUUUUUGGAAAAAUUGUAAGUUAAUGUUAUUAGUUGACAAUAGUGUGCAUGUGGCAUGUUAAAACACUCAUGUUCCAUCUAGCAGCCAAUUUGUGUCAUGAGCAUAUGCUUGCAGACAAUGGUGGAAGCAAGGUUGUCGCUGGAACAACAGAAGGUGAUUUUGAAGUAUUGUAAGUUUUAAAACAAUAGCAAAGUACAGUGACAAUGGCAGAACAUGUAUCAAACAAUGCCACCAACACAUGUAACAAUUGUGCAUAUUCAAAACAAAUUUGAAACUGAUGAUAUUGUUAAUGAUGUGCAUAAAGGACAUUCUAGGCAACCUGUAACAGCAGCAACUGCAGCUACCUUCACAACAGUGUUACAACAUUUUACAUCUUCACCACAGAAGUCUGUGAAACUGGGGUCAAUUGAACAAGUAUACAGCAAAUUUUGAAGACUGCAAAGUGGAAGGUGAUCAGGGUC
rnacentral:lncRNA from 1 species